GAUGAACGCUGGCGGCGUGCUUAACACAUGCAAGUCGAACGGACAGACGUAGACAGAAGUCUCGGCAAGAGAUCACCAGUCAGGGUGGUGAACGGUGGAGUAACGAGUGAUCAACCUGGCUAUGCCAGUGGGAUAGCCUCGGGAUACCGGGAUUAAUACCGCAUCAAAUCGUACAAACACAUGUUUCAGCGGUCAAAGAUUUAUUGGUCAUAGAGGGGCUCGAGUCGGAUUAGCUAGUUGGAGCGGUAACAGCACACCAAGGCGUCGAUCAGUAGCCGGUCAGAGAGGAAGGACCGACACAUUGGAGCUAAGACACGGUACGAACUCCUACGCGAGGCGGCAAUGGGGAAUAGUGCACAAUGGGGGAAACGCUGAUGCAGCGACGCCGCGUGAACGAAGAAAGUAGUCAUAUCGUAAAGUGCAGUCCUAUGGGAAGAUAAUGACAGUACCAAAGAAGAAAGCUCCGGCUAAAUACGUG
rnacentral:rRNA from 1 species